UAGGAAACUCUUGACUUGAAAGCUGUGUCAUAAUCAAGGGACUGAGAUUGUGAUCUUUCCAAAGAAAGCCUCUGGCUGUGCUGUUGACUCUCCAGUGGUUUCUCCAAGUACCCACAUUUCCCAACAUCAUCUAGCCCGGAUUCUGAUCUGGCACCUCCUGAUUGGCGCCCUCUGCCUAUAUAAGGUCAGGAUGUGCAACGCUGGAGUCAGAGUCCUACCUUCUCCUGAGCUCUGACGCUUUCCUCUCUGUGCUCCCUGCUGAUCCAUUCACCAGCAUGAAGGUCUUGGCGUUGAUGGUCCUGGUGGCAGUCUCCACCUUCCUGGUCUCAGGCCAGGAUACAACAGAUGCUCCGUCUGAUAGCUCUAGUGCUGCCCCUGAAGCCACCACUGAGGCCCCGGCCACCACAGCUGAUGCCGCCACUGAGGCCCCGGCCACCACUGCUGCGGCCACCACUGCAGCUCCUACCACCAAGACCAGCAAGACUAAAUUUAUCACUAAGAGGCCCACCCCUGGCUGGCUUAAGAAAAUACUGAGAUGGAAUUAGCCUUGGCCUUCUGCGUUUGUUCCUGCUGGACUCAGCCACUUGUCUCUUCAUUUGACUACUUCAACCACUUACCAUGUGUACCAACUAUCUCUUAACCCCAAUAAAUGUAUCUGUUUUCAAAUAAAAAAUAACA
rnacentral:lncRNA from 12 species